rnacentral:rRNA from 1 species
CCUACGUGUGGCAGCAGUGGGGAAUAUUGCACAAUGGGGGAACCCCUGAUGCAGCGACGCCGCGUGAGUGAAGAAGUAUUUCGUUAUGUAAAGCUCUGUCAGCAGGGAAGAAAAUGACGUUACCUGCCCAAGACGCCCCGACUAACUACGUGCCAGCAGCCGCGGUAAUACGUAGGGGGCAAGCGUUAUCCGGAUUUACUGGGUGUAAAGGGAGCGUAGACGGCAGGGCAAGUCUGGAGUGAAAGGCGGGGGCUCAACCCCCGGACUGCUCUGGAAAGUGCCAGGCUGGAGUGCAGGAGAGGUAAGUGGAAUUCCUAGUGUAGCGGUGAAAUGCGUAGAUAUUAGGAGGAACACCAGUGGCGAAGGCGGCUUACUGGACUGUAACUGACGUUGAGGCUCGAAAGCGUGGGGAGCAAACAGGAUUAGAUACCCUUGUAGUC